AGUAAUGUUUACAAACUAUCAUCUUCUUCGCUGUCUCACUUCGGAUUAAAAGACAAUUUCUCAAAUCUCCAUUAAAACACAAAGGCUUUUUUAUUUCUAUAUUCAGUUAUUAAACCUUCAGUCAAAUGUAUUGUUGAUCUGUUCGCACACACAAACAACAUAGAUCUCAGCAACCACCACUUAACCCUCUAUAAAAAAAACCACCACCAUUUCAAUUGUUUACUUUUAUAUACUUCAAUUCACCAAAAGCAAACCCUCUAUAACACACACACAACAGUAACAAACAUAGAUCUCAAACAAAGCGGCAGAUCCGAAGGCGGAUUCGUAGUGGUGAGUUGUUGAUCAUGCCAUUUGUUUCUCCUGGAGUUCGAGUCUUAAGGCUUCAGUCGUGUGGUCUAGACUACUUUCAUAAAUAUUUGUACAUACAACUCUGUCUUCUUAGGAGCGACAUUUUGCGUCAAAGGAAGAUUUCAUGCUUAUCUCGCGAAAUACACCAAGAAAACUGUUAAGCUCUUGCUGGAGACAAGGAAGCGUCUUUUCGAAAAUUCAUGCCGGAAGCAGGUAAGUACCUCCUCAAGCUGUAUGACAGCUUUCAGUUUUUCGUUGGGAAGAGCUAUUAUGACCGCUAUUAUGACCCUGACUGCUACGACGGAGAUGGAUUCAAGCAAUACCAUAUUGCACUACCUUAAUUUGCUUGAUGAUGAUGAUGAUGAUGAUGAUGAUAUGAUGAUGAUGAUGAUGAUAUGUGAUUUGCGCAAAGAGAGACUUUGGUGCUUAUCUCGAGAAGUACUCCAAGAAAACUGUUAAAACCCUUGCUGGAGACAAGAGUUUUUUGGAAAUAACAUGCUGUGGAGCUAAGUACCUUCUCAACUUGUUCGAUAGCUUCAAGUUUUUCUUUGGGGAGAGCUAUGACGAUGCAGAAUGCUAUAACGAAGAGAUCUUGAGGACAAUCGUAUGUUCCUACAACAAGGGGGGUUAUGGUGAACCAACCUUUUUGUACUUGGGCGAGGGCUUGAAGGAACAAAAGGUCAGAAGCGGGAAUAUUGGAUGAAGUAUGGUCUUUUAACUUUGUAUUAUUUAGCAUUAUUAAUUGGAAAACGAUAAAUAGACCUAAAGAUAUGCCUAAAAAUCAACCUAAAACUCUAAAUGUGUAUUCCACUAAUUCUCUUUCCUAA